AGAGAGAACUGGGAUAGUCUAAGGCCACAUGGAGAUCUGUCUUGCACUAUGUUGACUUAGUUUAGAGGCCCCGGCUGGAGAGGAGUCAGGCCCUUUUCUUGUGGGGUCAAUUAAGUCCGAUCCUCAAUUACCUCCUUGUUUGUCUCUCAGACCCUUGGCCGCUAUUCAGUCGCCAUAUGUGCCUCGGAGCCAGAAACCACAAAAAAAGGUUUUCGCCUACUGCUGCCCUUUAUCCCUCUGGCUCAACUCUGACGCUGGUGCUCCCACGAGUGGCCCCCUGUGGCAUGGCACGCUGUGUUCUCCCCAGGGAACUCUGAAUUUCUACCUGAUCUUAACUCUGCUUAGCUUUAGGAGACAGGAUGUCUGAGGUCAGAAGUUCCCCCUGGUGACCAAACCAGUUAAGACUGAUGAGAUUCAAGAUCCAGCUCACUUCGCCUUUGAAGAACCUCCAACUUCAUUAUAAUUUAUUUUCCAUACUAAAUGACACUCCCACCAGUGCCAUGACAGUUUAUAAUCACCAUGACAAUGACCAGAAGAAAUUAUGAAAGGACAAAAAGGAAGACCACAACUCCGGUUCUGAGGAAUUCUCCACCCAUUCCCAGAAAAGACAAGAAUACUCCUCCCCUUGUUUUUAAUGCCCAAACCCUUCAUUAAAGAUGUCCCAUAUCUGUGACUUCCUGUCUCUCAUUAAUUGAGAAGUUAAUCUGUGAGUCAAGCUCCCACUUCUUAAGUCCAUGGCCAUUGAAUAAAGCCUGCACUGCUUGAUGCUCACUUUUGGUUUCAUGCAUUGUCUUCUCAUCACUGCAUAGAAAAAGAACCCAUUUUAAAAUCAGUAACACUUUGAUUUCUAACGGAUUAAAUUUGCCAUUUUAUUGUUUUCUGUUUGUUUGAUUUGCAUUUUGUUCUUCUGUUUCAAGUGG
rnacentral:lncRNA from 1 species